rnacentral:lncRNA from 1 species
UGGGGAUUCCCGCGGCCUUGGCCGCUACCCGGCCUGCCCCGCGGCAAGAUGGCGGCGUGAAGGUGGCGGGCAGCGGCAGAAAGUUUGUUGUGGGGUUGGAGUAGUUGGGCCGGGAGGCUAGUGUGGGGGGGGGGAUCGUAGGGACACUAGCGCGGAGUAGCGGCGGAGGAGGCACUAGCUCCGGGGUUAAGAAGAGGAAAUGGAAUGGGGGAAGGUUGGAGGCGGAGAGAAAUAAAGAGGGAGACGGGCGGAGGGGAGGGGGCCUAGGAUCCAGUGGCGGCCCUGGGGGAGCGGUCUAGCGCCGGGGAACAAGAAGUAGGUGUGCAGGCCCUGAAGAAGCAGUCACGAAUUGGAGGGGAAUUUCUUAACCAAGAGUUAAGAGAGAAGCCUGGAGCUUGUGGCCGAGGCCCGACUGUACCCGGCCCGUAGGAGAGAGGUCUUUCCCGUGGAGGAGGAUAGUGGGGAAGGGGAGAAGAGAGACCUGGAGGAUGUUGGGCAGGUUUGGUAAGGAGGGAACUAAACCCAGUCAGAUGACCCUUCUCCAGACUUAGAUCAGCCUUUCCAGAGUUCCUAUAGCAUCUGCCCCAAUUUCAGCUGAAGACUCAGGGGCCCCAGGGACUGGAAGAAAUCACAGUGCCCGCUUGGAAAGAAGAAGAGGUAGCGACUUGCCCCAGCUCAACCCCAGAGCGGGAGCUGUUGGCUAGAGGAAGUGGAGGGGCCGUGGGAUGCAGAGAGCCGAGGGCUAACUCUGGGACAGCGGAACAGAGAGAGCUGCCGACGAUCAGACGCAGGUUGAGGAGCCCUCACCUCCCAGGAUGACCAGCGCAGCCCCUGCUAAGAAACCGUACCGUAAGGCCCCACCUGAGCAUCGGGAGUUGCGGCUGGAGGUUCCUGGAUCCCGGCUGGAGCAGGAGGAGCCCCUGACCGAUGCAGAGAGGAUGAAGCUGUUGCAGCAGGAGAACGAGGAGCUCCGCCGGCGCCUGGCCUCAGCCACCAGGCGCACCGAGGCCCUGGAGCGCGAGCUGGAGAUCGGGCAGGACUGCUUGGAGCUGGAGCUGGGCCAGAGCCGCGAGGAGCUGGACAAAUUUAAGGACAAGUUCCGCAGGCUUCAGAACAGCUACACGGCUUCCCAGAGGACCAACCAGGAGCUGGAGGACAAGCUGCACACACUGGCCUCUCUUAGCCACAGCUGGAUCUUUGCAAUCAAGAAAGCGGAGAUGGACAGGAAGACGCUGGACUGGGAGAUCGUGGAGCUGACCAACAAGCUGCUGGAUGCCAAGAACACCAUCAACAAGCUGGAGGAGCUCAAUGAGCGGUACCGGCUGGACUGCAACCUGGCUGUGCAGCUCCUCAAGUGCAACAAGUCCCACUUCCGCAACCACAAGUUCGCCGAUCUGCCCUGUGAGCUACAGGACAUGGUUCGGAAACAUCUGCACAGUGGUCAAGAGGCUGCCAGCCCGGGCCCCGCCCCUAGCCUGAUGCCAGGGGCUGUGGUACCCACCUCGGUCAUUGCCCGGGUGUUAGAGAAGCCAGAGUCUCUACUGCUCAACUCAGCCCAGUCAGGCAGUGCCGGGCGCCCCUUGGCCGAGGAUGUCUUUGUGCACGUGGACAUGAGUGGGGGGGGGCCGGGUGACCCAGCCAGUCCCCCAGCCCCUGGCAGCCCCACCUCACAACCCAAUGGGGAAUGCCGCUCCCUGGGCACUGCUGGGGGCUCCCCAGAGGAGGAGUUGCCCCUGCCAGCCUUUGAGAAGCUGAGCCCCUACCCCACCCCAUCUCCACCACACCCGCUGUAUCCUGGCCGCAAGGUAAUCGAGUUCUCUGAGGAUAAGGUGCGAAUCCCCCGCAACAGCCCCCUGCCCAACUGCACUUACGCCACCCGCCAGGCCAUUUCCCUGAGCCUGGUGGAGGAGGGUGGUGAGCGGGCCCGCCCCAGCCCAGUGCCCAGCAGCCCUGCCUCGGCCCAGACCUCCCCCCGCCACGAGCCCAGCCCUGUCCCCCCGGCACUCAGUGCCCCGGCCAGCUCUGCCAGCUCUGAGGAGGACCUGCUAGCCAGCUGGCAGCGAGCAUUUGUGGACCGCACUCCACCCCCAGCCGCCGUGGCCCAGCGCACAGCCUUUGGACGUGAUGCCCUCCCUGACCUGCAGCGCCACUUUGCUCUUAGCCCCACUGACAGAGAUGAGGAGGUUCUGGUGCCUUCUUCCCCACCUGGUGAGAGUGGGCUUUUGCUGCCAACAGAAGCUGAUUCUGGCCUUCCCAGGGAGGAGGAAGAAGAGCUGAACCUGCCCAUCAGCCCUGAGGAAGAACGCCAGAGUCUGCUGCCCGGUGAUAAUGGCACAGAUCAGGGGCCUGUCACUUCCCACACUGACGGCAGGGCCUGGGCACUCCCCAGCUCCAGCCGUCCCCAGCGCAGCCCCAAGAGGAUGGGGGUGCACCACCUUCACCGCAAGGACAGCCUGACCCAGGCCCAAGAGCAGGGCAACCUGCUCAACUAG